rnacentral:lncRNA from 1 species
UAGGUUCCGAAAACCGAUAUUUCGGAAAAUUCGGAUUGAAGUAAGUUUUGGAUUGAGGUAAAAGCUCAUUUGCGGUAAAAAUUAUAUAAUUUUAUUUAAUCAAUUUAUUUAAUUUAUUGUUAAAAUAAAUUAAUAAAUUAUCAUUUUAAUUAUCAAUUGAAAUAAUAAUAAUUAGUAUUUUAUUAAUUGAUUAACAAUUAACAAUUAUUAAAUAUUUUCGAUGUCGAUAAUGAUGAUUGUUGUAAUUAAAUUAUAAAGUAUUAUAUUACAAUAUAAUUUAAUAUUUUGAAUGUAAUAUUAUGUUGAUUAUAAAUAUUUCUUUUUUUUUUCAGUAAAAAAUGAGUCAACUACUUGCAAUCGUCGAACGAUAUGAACGACUCGAGUGACUUAAUCAGAUUCAACGUAGUUUUUACAAAAACAUAGAUUAUUAUUGUCGUGUUUUUGCUCGUUUCUGUUGCGGAGUCAACGGUCAUCAUUUUCACAACUGUCCAAAAAUAUGGUCGACAAAUCCUCAAACAAUGGAAACCGGUC